UUCACCGCGUUGCUGCCUGUGACGUUACCUAUGGAUGCAUCCGCAUACUGGUCCUGGGUGGCUGCCACUUUGCUUGCAAACGUGUCUGAGGAGGAAGAAGAAAAAGACAAUGAACAAUCAGCCACUUACAGAGGUCUGUGGAGUGCCAGAAGCUUCAGCAGGGUACUCAGGAAUCAAGCCUUCAGUGGAAACCCCAAGACCUGGACAGAGCUUUGUCCUCUCAAGUCCCAUCUGUGUAUCCCUACGUAACAGGACUCGAGGGCUUGGUGGUGGGCGUCUAUACAUGUCUACCCUUAAACUUGACUAAUGAUGACAAUAUCUCCUUUUAAAAGAAUAAAUGACCUAGAUGAAAUAUUCAAAGUGAUAUCUAGACCUGAAGAUUUUGCCAGUGAUGAAAAUGUGCCAGUAUCUGUGAAGUUAAACCACACAGCACAGAGUCAUUGAGCUCUUAAAAAUAGGAGAUCAAAAUGGAAUAAGAGGACACGGAACUCAUUUUCCCUGAAUGAAUAAUUCUCACUUAAAAUGAACUGGAAACUGGCAGAAGAGCCUCUUUACAACCAAGGCUGUAAGAAAGACAUAUACAUACUCUGGUAGGGAGAGAAGAAAAGUGACUGGUUCUAGACCUGGGCCCUUAGAAGGGGACUGAGAGGAAAAGGGAGAUGACAAGAGUGAAGGGACCUGUGGAGUGAGUGGGUCAAGACACAGACUGGGCAUCCCAGAUUCUGGGGAUCUAUGCGGAGGAGAGAGGCCCCUUUGCCUGGCUGGAGGAACUGGGUCAGAUGGAAAGGCUGGAGAAGCCUGGACACUGCACAUGUGCUGACUAGCUCUGGAAGUAGGGCAGAGAGAGGCCUCCCCUGGAGGCUACUAGGUUGCCAAUGACUGCCUCAUUCCACUUCCCAGUCUGAACUGAGCAAAUGAUCUGGCCCUGCUCACUUCACACCACAGUGCAGUACUGGAUCUGGGGCAGCCAGGAAAGGGGGGAAGACCAGACCACGGUCACAGAGGUGACCCAUUCUGAGGAGGGGCCCCAGGUGGGCAGCGGCACGCCAGGAACCACCCAGAUCACCGAGAGCUGCCCCUUGACCGCAGCUAACCUACCGAAACGUGCCGAGUCCAUGCAGGUCCUUGCCAGACUACAGGAGUAGUUCUACAAUAGGGGUGGAGGUGUGGAGGCAGGCGGCAGGGAUCGACCGUGGGAAACAAAGGGGAUUCACACCCAAGGCUGCAUCUGAGUGAAGCAGCAGAUGCCCACGCAGGCUGUGCAUUGGACCUCUGUCUACAUACAGGCCCCACAUGCUUCAGCACAGCCCUCUGGGGCAAUGGUCCUGGGACAGAGAGAGGGAGAAACAGAUACUUAA